GCUACAGUGCGUACAGUCAUUGACAAGACCAUAUUUGUGCGGGCUCUACCUCACACGGUGCUUUCGGAUAUUACUCCAUCUCCUUCAGUCUACAGGUUGACCUCUGAAGAUAACAAGAAUUUGGAAAUGUGCCUUAUCACGGAUUACUCCCCUGAAAAACUUGAUCUUAGCUCAGUUGAUACGAAGAUGGAAACUGUUGUGGAGGUGGCAACAUCUGAGAACAAAUAUGAAGCGAGCUACCUGUCAACCUACUGGGCCAAGAAGGAUGAAAUGCAGUGUGGUGCCAAGCACGAGGGAUUUGGAGUGCUAGGAGAUGAUCCUGAAGCUGGUGCCAGCACUGUCUGCAUUACAGGGAUGUCGCCACAUUUCAAGACAGAUGAGAACCUGAACAUGCUGACCUUCUCACAAAUGGGCUUGAAAAUAAUUUUAAUGAAAGCAAUCAUUUUUAAUGUGCUGAUGACGAUGCUUAUGAGGAAAAAAAAUGAAUGAAAGUAACCAGACAGUACAGAUGUGAAGUACCAAAAAAAUCUGUUGAAGAAUCAUUAUUGGAGCAUUGGGUGCAAGAGGUUCUCCCACUGCAAUAGAUACCAUUGUUUUUUCUGUGUAUCACACCAGCCAUUAUAGUCUAAAUUGCUUUGUGUGCAUUUUUAUGAAGCUACUCAAAAGUAUGUUACAAUCCUCUGCAUUCUGCUCAUUCAGCAUGACAGUGCCUUUUUUUGCUUUGGUUUGCUUUUUUUGGAUGAAGCAGAGAUUGCUGUAACUGUGUAUUGUCAAACAGCUCUAUUACUUGCAUUAAAAUGACAUAAAAUUUCUGCCUGAA